CCUCCCAGUCAGUCAGUCAGGAGCUGUAGGAGGAUGCUGUGCUGUUGGAGGAACUAAGCAAUACAAAUCUGUAUCUGACACAAGGAAGGAGGCCCUGAGCCCUUCUAGAUGCCAGAGGACAAAUUCCCGGCAGCUGAUCCUGGGAGGACUGUCUAGGCAACCCCUGGAGGUCUGAAGCAACUGCUCUUCCUUUCCAGCAGGAGACCUUUUCAGGAUGCAGCAUGGCAAGGCAGCAGGGCCUCCGGCAGGGAGCAACAAAUGCCUGAUUGCUGAUUGUGGGCUGUUCUGUUUCACCUGGGACCCCGAGAGGAGAAGAAACAUCCAAGAGGACUUGGCUGGAGGGUUGGGUGCUGGCCACUAGAAUGACAUACCUCCGUAGCACCCACUGGAUCCAUGAUACCCACCUUGCAAUUCUUGUACUAAUCCCCAUCUUGUCUAAUUUAACUAAUAAUUUCUCAUGUGGUACUGUGUCAAAUGUUCUUAGUCCAAAUAUAGUAAUCUACAAGGAAAUGAGGUUAAUCUAGCACAGCCUAACCUUGGGAAACCCAUGUUGCAUUACAUCCCCUUUUCCAUUUACCUGUAUGAAUUUAAAUAUUCAUUCCUUCACCAUUUGUUCCAAAGUUUUGCAUAAUAUUGAAACUAGACUAACAGGUCUGUAAUUGCCAGGAUCACUCCCCUUCCCCCAUUUCUUAAGCAUAGGUACAAUGUCAGCUAGUCUCCAGUCAUAUGGUACUACUGCCAA